AUACGUAGGUGGCGAGCGUUGUCCGGAUUUACUGGGCGUAAAGGGUGCGUAGGUGGUUUCUUAAGUCAGAGGUGAAAGGCUACGGCUCAACCGUAGUAAGCUCUUGAAACUGGGAAACUUGAGUGCAGGAGAGGAAAGUGGAAUUCCUAGUGUAGCGGUGAAAUGCGUAGAUAUUAGGAGGAACACCAGUUGCGAAGGCGGCUCUCUGGACUGUAACUGACACUGAGGCACGAAAGCGUGGGGAGC
rnacentral:rRNA from 1 species